rnacentral:lncRNA from 1 species
UAUACCUCUCUCUAUUAUCUCUUUCUAAUAUCUAUCUAUUAAUCUAUAUGAAUUAUCAAUGAUUUUGCCACGUGGUAAGUUUCGUCCACCCUCACUAACCUUUUUUUUGAAUUAAUCUUUACUUAGGGCUUUUCCCCUCCCCUCCUCUCUAUUCAAUGACAUAUAAUCAAUGUGCUUUUAAUUUAUACGAUACUGAAUUUUUCCUCUUUUUCAAAUAAUUCCUAACAUGCAAUUAGUUUUGAUUUCAUAAUUGAUGUGGCAGUUUUGACCAUUUCAUAUUCAAAAGGGUGCAAAAUCUUGCAAACUUCUAUGAGAUUUUUAUCGCCAUCGUCAUCAUGAUCGCAACAUUAUCAUCUCCAUCUUCAUACGACCUUUGUAGAUUUUUUUCUUUAAAUGAUGAUUCUCGGCGGUUAUCAAUCUUCAAUGGUUAUAUUGGCUAGUUCAAUUUAUACAUUUACCUACCCAAAAAAUAAAACACACUUGAAUUUUUAUUUUCCAAACUCCUUUCUUCAUCCUCUUCAAUAUUUUUUAUUUUUUCUUCUAUUAUUUAUUCGCCGCAUCGCGUGGGUUACUACACUAGUAUAUCUAUGUAUAGAAAUCUAUUUAGCAAAAUUUUAUCUAACUAAAUUUUCUUCUCAAAUAAAAUUUUAUAACUAAAUAUUUAUACUUAUGCAAUUAGAUCAAAUCUAAUUAAAAUCUUAUCUUACAAGAUAUUGUGAAUAUUUAAUUAUUCUAUAAUCCAAUUAGAGAUAAGCAUUAAUCUCUCCAAUAUUUAAUUUUAUAUAUAUAUAUAUAUAUAUAUAUAUAUAUAUAAAGCAUGUAUAUUCAAAUUUGGGUCUGUCGACAGACCCAUUUUUCGGCGAAAAAAUUAGCGCCCAUUUUCCUCUUUCCACGAAAAAUUUUAAAUAUAAAAAUAAAAAUAGAAAUAGAAACAACAAUAAAUACGUAAGUUCUCUAUAACAGAUUACUGAUGUGAAAAUUCUAAAAUAUAAAUUUUUCUAUUUAAUUUUAAAAGUAAGUUUUCUAUAACAAAUUACGGGUGUAAAAAUCCUAUAAAAGAUAUUUUUCUAUUUUAGAUAUUAUCUAUUUAAUUUCAAAAUAUAUUUUCUUUUUAAGAUAACGGAUUUUAUUUUUCUAUUUAAUUUCAAAAAUUUAUUUCCUAACAGAUUUUAUUUUUCUAUUUAAUUUCAAAAGUAAUUUUU